rnacentral:rRNA from 1 species
GACAGAGGAUGCAAGCGUUAUCCGGAAUGAUUGGGCGUAAAGCGUCUGUAGGUGGCUUUUCAAGUCCGCCGUCAAAUCCCAGGGCUCAACCCUGGACAGGCGGUGGAAACUACCAAGCUGGAGUACGGUAGGGGGCAGAGGGAAUUUCCGGGUGGAGCGGGUGAAAUGCGUAGAGAUCGGAAAGAACACCAAUGGCGAAAGCACUCUGCUGGGCCGACACUGACACUGAGAGACGAAAGCUAGGGGAGCAAAUGGG